rnacentral:rRNA from 1 species
CAGCAGCCGCGGUAAGACGAACCGUGCGAACGUUAUUCGGAAUCAUUGGGCUUAAAGCGCGUGUAGGCGGAUGGGAACGUCGGUCGCUGAAAUACCCCGGCUCAACCGGGGAACUGGCAUCGAAACGACCCGUCUCGAGGGGCAUAGGGGGAGCUGGAACUUCCGGUGGAGCGGUGAAAUGCGUUGAGAUCGGAAGGAACGCCCGUGGCGAAAGCGAGCUCCUGGAUGUCUUCUGACGCUGAGACGCGAAAGCUAGGGUAGCGAACGGGAUUAGAGACCCCGGUAGUCCCUGUCUCUUAUA